rnacentral:rRNA from 1 species
UCAAGCUAAUAAGGGCUAACGGUGGAUACCUAGGCACACGGAAGCGAAGAAGGACGUAGUUACCGACGAAACGCUUCGGGGAGCGGGAAGCAAGCAUUGAUCCGAAGAUAUCCGAAUGGGGCAACCCUAAACACGACCACCUGAAUACAUAGGGUGGAGCGAGCAAACCUGGUGAACUGAAACAUCUUAGUAGCCAGAGGAAAAGAAAGCAACAGCGAUUCCCCCAGUAGCGGCGAGCGAAAAGGGAACAGCCUAAACCAAGUUCUUCGGAACUUGGGGUCGUGGGACAGUAACAAAAGACUGGGAAAUUUAGACGAAGCGGCUGAAAACCGCACCAGAGAAGGUGAAAGUCCUGUAGUCGAAAAAGGAACCAGCUUAACUGCAUCCCGAGUAGCAUGGGGCACGUGAAAUCCCGUGUGAAUCUGCCUCGACCACGAGGUAAGGCUAAAUAUUCCCGUGUGACCGAUAGAGAAACAGUACCGCGAGGGAAAGGUGAAAAGAACCCCGGAAGGGGAGUGAAAUAGAACAUGAAACCGUUAGCCUACAAGCAAUGGGAGGACGAUUGAACGUCUGACCGUGUGCCUGUUGAAGAAUGAGCCGGCGACUUACAGGUUAUGGCAGGUGAAGGGGGAAGACCCCACAGCCCCAGCGAAAGCGAGUCUGAAUAGGGCGAAAAGUCAUAAUUUGUAGACCCGAACCCGGGUGAUCUAACCAUGGCCAGGAUGAAGCUUGGGUAAAACCAAGUGGAGGUCCGAACCGACUAAUGUUGAAAAAUUAGCGGAUGAGCUGUGGUUAGGGGUGAAAUGCCAAUCGAACUCGGAGCUAGCUGGUUCUCCCCGAAAUGUGUUGAGGCGCAGCGGUAGUGGAAGUUUAGUCGGGGUAAAGCACUGUUUCGCCGCGGGCUGGGAGACCGGUACCAAGGCGAGGCAAACUCUGAAUACGGCUAAAAAAACUACCAGUGAGACGGUGGGGGAUAAGCUUCAUCGUCAAGAGGGAAACAGCCCAGACCACCAGCUAAGGUCCCCAAAUGAUAACUAAGUGAGAAAGGAGGUGGGAGUGCAUUGACAACCAGGAGGUUUGCCUAGAAGCAGCAAUCCUUAAAAGAGUGCGUAAUAGCUCACUGGUCAAGCGCUCCUGCGCCGAAAAUGAACGGGGCUAAGUUAUCUACCGAAGCUGUGGACUACAUUGUAGUGGUAGGGGAGCGUUCUAUAGGGGGUGAAGCAGUAGCGGCAAGCAGCUGUGGACUCUAUAGAAGUGAGAAUGUCGGCUUAAGUAGCGAAAAUGUGGGUGAGAAUCCCACACCCCGAAACCCCAAGGUUUCCUCCGCAAGGCUCGUCCGCGGAGGGUCAGUCAGGACCUAAGGCGAGGCUGAAAAGCGUAGUCGAUGGACAACGGGUUAACAUUCCCGUACCGAUUAAUGAUUGUGCCGGAGAACGGAGAAGGUCAACGUCAGCUGGAUGUUGGUUACCAGUGCAAGCAGUCGAGGCGAUGAGAGGUGGAGAAAACACCAGGAGCUAAGACGCGAGUCCCACCUCCCACGGGAGGGAAGUGGCGCUGAUCAAGCUUCCUAGAAAAGCCCGAACCACGUUAAUCAUUAAUUGCCUGUACCCGAAACCGACACAGGUGGGGAAGUAGAGAAUACUAAGGGGCGCGAGAUAACUCUCUCUAAGGAACUCGGCAAAAUGACCCCGUAACUUCGGGAGAAGGGGUACCCUCGCAAGAGGGUCGCAGUGAAUAGGCCCAGGCGACUGUUUACCAAAAACACAGGUCUCCGCCAAGUCGUAAGACGCAGUAUGGAGGCUGACGCCUGCCCAGUGCCGGAAGGUUAAGGAAGUUGGUCAGGAGUAAUCUAAAGCUGACGACCGAAGCCCCGGUGAACGGCGGCCGUAACUAUAACGGUCCUAAGGUAGCGAAAUUCCUUGUCGGGUAAGUUCCGACCCGCACGAAAGGCGUAACGAUCUGGGCACUGUCUCGGAGAGAGACUCGGCGAAAUAGGAUUGUCUGUGAAGAUACGGACUACCUGCACCUGGACAGAAAGACCCUAUGAAGCUUUACUGUAGCCUGGAAUUGGCUUCGGGCUUCGCUUGCGCAGGAUAGGUGGGAAGCUUUGAAACUCUCCUCGUGGGGAGAGUGGAGCUAACGGUGAGAUACCACUCUGGCGAGGCUAGAAUUCUAACCCUGACCCCUAAUCGGGGCGGGAGACAGUUUCAGGUGGGCAGUUUGACUGGGGCGGUCGCCUCCUAAAAGGUAACGGAGGCGCGCAAAGGUUCCCUCGGUCCCGUUGGAAAUGGGACGAUAGAGUGCAAAAGCAGAAGGGAGCUUGACUGUGAGACCCACAAGUCGAACAGGGACGAAAGUCGGCUUUAGUGAUCCGACGGCACCGCGUGGAAGGGCCGUCGCUCAACGGAUAAAAGUUACUCUAGGGAUAACAGGCUGAUCUCCCCCAAGAGUUCACAUCGACGGGGAGGUUUGGCACCUCGAUGUCGGCUCAUCGCAACCUGGGGCUGAAGUCGGUCCCAAGGGUUGGGCUGUUCGCCCAUUAAAGCGGUACGUGAGCUGGGUUCAGAACGUCGUGAGACAGUUCGGUCCAUAUCCGGUGUAGGCGUAAGAGCAUUGCGAGGAGCCUUCCUUAGUACGAGAGGACCGGGAAGGACGCACCGCUGGUGUACCUGUUAUCGUGCCAACGGUAAACGCAGGGUAGCCAUGUGCGGAGCGGAUAACCGCUGAAAGCAUCUAAGUGGGAAGCCCACCUCCAGAUGAUUGCUCUCAUGGCAUUAAGCCAGUAAGGUCUCGGGUAGACUACCCGUUGAUAGGCUCUAGAUGGAAGCUCGGUAACGAGUGCAGUCGAGGAGUACUAACCGACCGAGGGCUUGACCUG